GAUGAACGCUGGCGGCGUGCCUAACACAUGCAAGUCGAGCGAACGGACGAGAAGCUUGCUUCUCUGAUGUUAGCGGCGGACGGGUGAGUAACACGUGGAUAACCUACCUAUAAGACUGGGAUAACUUCGGGAAACCGGAGCUAAUACCGGAUGAUAUUUUGAACCGCAUGGUUCAAAAGUGAAAGACGGUCUUGCUGUCACUUAUAGAUGGAUCCGCGCUGCAUUAGCUAGUUGGUAAGGUAACGGCUUACCAAGGCAACGAUGCAUAGCCGACCUGAGAGGGUGAUCGGCCACACUGGAACUGAGACACGGUCCAGACUCCUACGGGAGGCAGCAGUAGGGAAUCUUCCGCAAUGGGCGAAAGCCUGACGGAGCAACGCCGCGUGAGUGAUGAAGGUCUUCGGAUCGUAAAACUCUGUUAUUAGGGAAGAACAUAUGUGUAAGUAACUGUGCACAUCUUGACGGUACCUAAUCAGAAGGCCACGGCUAACUACGUG
rnacentral:rRNA from 1 species